CUGCGGCAGUGUCGAUAGCCACUACCGUGGUCGGCUAGCCAGACACAAACGACAUUGCCUGCAGCCAGGCCCAGAUCAGGUUGAUCAGAGACACACAAAAUGCCUGGAAAACUGAAGGUUCGAAUAAUAGCUGCCCGAGACCUGCCCAUUAUGGACAGAGCCAGUGACUUAGCUGAUGCAUUUGUUGAGGUUAAGUUUGGUCAGGACAUUCACAAAACAGAGGUGUGCCGGAAAUCCUUAAAUCCUCAGUGGAAUACAGAUUGGUAUAAAUUUGA